AGCUCCAAUAGCGUAUAUUAAAGUUGUUGCAGUUAAAAAGCUCGUAGUUGGAUUUCUGGCGGGAGCGACCGGUCGGCGCUUAACGGCGUGUGCACUGGAGUUGUCUCUUGCCAUCCUUGAGGAGAACGUGUCUGGCAUUAAGUUGUCGGGCUUGGGAUCCUCAUCGUUUACUGUGAAAAAUUAGAGUGUUUAAAGCAGGCAUUUGCUGUGAAUACAUUAGCAUGGAAUAAUAAGAUAGGACUUUGGUGCUAUUUUGUUGGUUUGCGUACCAAGGUAAUGAUUAAUAGGGAUAGUUGGGGGUAUUCGUAUUCAAUUGUCAGAGGUGAAAUUCUUGGAUUUAUGGAAGACGAACAACUGCGAAAGCAUUUACCAAGGAUGUUUUCA
rnacentral:rRNA from 1 species